AGAGUUUGAUCCUGGCUCAGGACGAACGCUGGCGGCGUGCCUAACACAUGCAAGUCGAACGGAGAUCGAGUUUAACACCGAGGACUUGAGAAAGACAUCGAGUGUUCGGUGUUGAACUUGAUCUUAGUGGCGGACGGGUGAGUAACGCGUGAGUAACCUGCCUUUCAGAGGGGGAUAACGUUUUGAAAAGAACGCUAAUACCGCAUGAUAUCCUUGCUUCGCAUGGAGUGGGGAUCAAAGGAGCAAUCCGCUGAAAGAUGGACUCGCGUCCGAUUAGCCAGUUGGCGGGGUAACGGCCCACCAAAGCGACGAUCGGUAGCCGGACUGAGAGGUUGAACGGCCACAUUGGGACUGAGACACGGCCCAGACUCCUACGGGAGGCAGCAGUGGGGGAUAUUGCACAAUGGGGGAAACCCUGAUGCAGCAACGCCGCGUGAAGGAAGAAGGUCUUCGGAUUGUAAACUUUUGUCCUUAGUGAAGAUAAUGACGGUAGCUAAGGAGGAAGCUCCGGCUAACUACGUGCCAGCAGCCGCGGU
rnacentral:rRNA from 1 species